AUGGAUUUAACUACUAAAAGGAGUUAGAAAUUGAUCAAAUUAAAGUAUAGUUACUGAAUUCACAACCUGUACAAAAGUACAGGGAUUAAUAAUAGAAUUAUAUCCUAUAAAAGAUGCUAAAGAGCUCCUUCCUACCCUAAUCUCUCUUCGCACGGAUCUGACCGCCAAGCGAGCAUCUCACCACGACUCCGAUCAAAUAAGGUCAAUGAAUUCAGUCAUCCCAAGACAAGAUCGUGCUGAGAUUUACAGGAUCUUUACGACUUCAAAGAGUGUUACUGUUUUAGAGGCCGAACUUUGAGGUGUUUAUGAUGAUUGAGGAAUUGCCAGGAGGUUGUUACUCACCACUAUACUGUGCUCAGAGCAACUAGAGAUAUGUUACGGAAGUUGAAGUCGUCCAUGUGUAUAGAGAAGGAAAUCGGCUAGCUGAUGUUUUAGCUUUUGCUGGCCUUUAACCAGAAUGUUGGCCCGCAAAUCUCGUGUGCCCACCAGCAGGACCAGCUCAAGUGCUACAAGAGGAUAUGCAAGGAUUGGCUUUGCCAAGAAUGGGGAUGUUCCUUUCUCUUUUACAUUUGAGAUCUGUAUACUAAUUUUUUGGAGUUUAUAUUUGUAUAGAGUCUAGUUGAAUUUGAAAUGUAACAUUAGUACGGUUAAAUUAAUCAUAUUCGUAAUUUUGGAUAAAAA